UCUAACGGAUGUACUCUAACAUCGCAAUAGUUUAAAAAAAAUUUUUCACUCAAUUUUAUGUUGGACUUGCACGUAUUCGUAUCGUUAGUUCAUGCAGACGAAAUACCAAAAUGUCAAAAAUAAUAACAUUAUUAUCAAUUUUCUUAUGCAUCGGUCUUUAUACUCAUACAGUUAAAGGAUGCAGAGGCCAAAGGUGCAACCCUUUAAAACAGCUACAUUGUUGCCCAAGUUAUACAUGCACCGUAGCUUUUGUUGACGGCAUAUGCAGACCUGAGUUUGAAGCUUCCUCAGUGCCAACUUAUCCAUCAAUCGAAAAAAUUCAGAAUGUUACUGGAGCAGAGCUGUACUGAAUGCUAUAAAAAGUAGACUAUUCAAAAAAAAAAAAGAAAAUUUUGAUCUAUAUCUACAUCUGUUCAUCAAAAUAAUUAAUAAAUAGAAACUUAGUAAACCUA